rnacentral:rRNA from 1 species
CUCUCUAAACUGAAUAGUUUUUAUAAGCAAAGAAGUAAGAAGGGAUGGGCUACUGAUGGUGAUCGUAAUACGAAAUUUUUUCAUCAAGCUGUGCUUAAGAGAAGGAAAAGGAAUACUAUCUGCUCGGUUAAGGAUGAAAAUAAUAUUGUGCAUUUUAAGCCUAGUCUCAUUGCUAAUACCUUUGUUAAUUAUUUCAGCAACUGUGGUAGACCUUUUCUUGCUUCUCAAUUACCGGAGGGCUCUUUGAACCCUACUUAUUUAAUUCCGGAUAAAAAUGAGGUCUUGCAGAUUUUGAAGGACAUGAAGUUGAAUGCUUCUCCAGGGCCAGAUGGUUUUAAUGUCGAGUUUUAUUUGGCUACUUGGAAUUGGAUAGGAGACGAUGUCACUCAAUUGGUAGUCAAUUUUUAUAGAACAGGUAUAUUGCCCUCUCACGUGAGUGAUACAAACAUUGCUCUCAUUCCAAAAAAACUUGUUCCUCAGGUUCCUAUGGAUUAUCGUCCC